rnacentral:rRNA from 1 species
UACAGAGGGUGCAAGCGUUAAUCGGAAUUACUGGGCGUAAAGGGUCUGUAGGCGGAUUAUUAAGUCGGAUGUGAAAUCCCCGGGCUCAACCUGGGAACGGCAUUCGAUACUGGUGGUCUAGAGUGUGAAAGAGGAUGGGGGAAUUCCUGGUGUAGCAGUGAAAUGCGUAGAGAUCAGGAGGAACAUCAAUGGCGAAGGCACCUUUCUGGGGCAACACUGACGCUGAGAGACGAAAGCGUGGGGAGCAAACAGGAUUAGAUACCCUGGUAGUCCACGCCCUAAACGAUGUCAACCAACUGUUCGGAGUCACUAAGCUUCUGAGAUAGUGAAGCUAACGCGAUAAGUUGACCGGCUGGGGAGUACGGCCGCAAGGUUGAAACUCAAAGAAAUUGACGGGGGCCCGCACAAGCGGAGGAGUAUGUGGUUUAAUUCGAUGCGACGCGAAGAACCUUACCCGGUCUUGACAUGGUAGGAAUCUUGUAGAGAUACGAGAGUGCCUUCGGGAACCUACACACAGGUGGUGCACGGCUGUCGUCAGCUCGUGUCGUGAGAUGGUGGGUUAAGUCCCGCAACGAGCGCAACCCUUGCCCUUAGUGACCAUCAUUUAGUUGGGGCACUCUAAGGGGACUCACCGGUGAUAAUCCGGAGGAAGGUGGGGACGACGUCAAGUCAUCAUGGCCCUUAUGACCGGGGCUACACACCUACUACAAUGGUCGGUACAGACGGUCGCAAGCUCGCGAGCGUAAGCUCAUCCGAGAAAACCGAUCGUAGUCCGGAUCGCAGUCUGCAACUCGACUGCGUGAAGUCGGAAUCGCUAGUAAUCGCAAAUCAGAAUGUUGCGGUGAAUACGUUCCCGGGCCU